rnacentral:tRNA from 3 species
GCGUCCAUCGUCUAAUGGAUAGGACAGAGGUCUUCUAAACCUUAAAUAUAGGUUCAAAUCCUAUUGGACGUA